rnacentral:rRNA from 1 species
AGCAACGCCGCGUGAGUGAUGAAGGCCUUCGGGUUGUAAAGCUCUUUCGUCUGGGACGAUAAUGACGGUACCAGAAGAAGAAGCCCCGGCUAACUUCGUGCCAGCAGCCGCGGUAAUACGUAGGGGGCUAGCGUUGUUCGGAAUUACUGGGCGUAAAGGGUGCGUAAGCGGAUUUUUAAGUCAGAUGUGAAAUCCCCGGGCUCAACCUGGGAGCUGCCUUUGAAACUGAACAUCUUGAGUGCGGGAGAGGUAAGUGGAAUUCCCAGUGUAGCGGUGAAAUGCGUAUAUAUUGGGAAGAACACCAUUGGCGAAGGCGGCUCUCUGGACCGAUACUGACGCUGAGGCACGAAAGCGUGGGGAGCAAACAGGAUUAGAUCCGGGGGUA